rnacentral:lncRNA from 1 species
GGUUUGUGACUCAGAAUAAACAGCAAGAGCAAGAGGGCGGGCACUCUGGAGGGAAAUGCUGAAUCUGGGUUCAGGUGUACUGAGUUCACUACAUGAACAAGGGAAAGGAAGGAAGCCAAUGGAAAUGAGUGCAGAGAGGUAAAUAAGACAACUGGCUGAGAACCAGGAUGCCAAAUGACAAUGGUUUAAACGUAUAGAGAUAUCGCUGAGAAUCAAGUGAAGCUAGGCUUUGAGGAAAGGGUCAUGUGGUGAAAGUCAGUGGGGACCAAACAUGAUUUCAAUAUUCUAUUUGUGGCAGCACCACGGAGAAGCUGCUGAAAAGACUGCAGCAACCCUUGCUUGAGAAGAAUCAGAGAUGUCAAAUUUUAGUGCUGCAGCAGGAACAAAAGAGACAGGUGACUAUAUCCAGAUCCUGUAAUGCCGGGAUCACUUCAAGUUCCCUUAUUUUUUUCUUAACAUUCUGUGACUUUUCAUGGGGCUUGGAAACUUCCGAGAGAUGGGGCGGGGUGGGGGGGGGGUCUUCUGAAAGACAGAAUCGAGUUUGAUUUUGAGCCACACAAAGCUGCAGAAGGACAGGUCGAUGCCCAAAGAAGCCCUGGACUGGAAGACCAGACUCUCAGUCAAACAACAUCUCAAAUGGUGGUUUUAAAAUAUUCCACCAGUUCUUGGUACUCUACUUCAAGAGGUAGAGAUGAAUUUCCCUCCCCUUGCAUGUGAGCUGUACCAAGUGACUGGCUUCUAAGAAACAGAAUGGGGCAGCGGCAAUGGCACACAUCUUCCAAGAUCACAAGGCUAAGGACACUGUAGCUCCUUCCACGCACUGUCUCUUAGCUUACCUGCACUGAAAGAAGUCAGCCACGUGUCAGGAGAACAUGCAAGUCACUCUAUGGACAGAUCCACAGGCUGAUGAACCGAGGCCUCCUGUCCACAGCUAUGUGAGUAAGUCAUUUUGGAAACGGAUCCUCCGGCCCCAGUCAAGCCUUCGGAUGACUACAACCCCAGCCAACAUCUGGACUACAAUCUCCAGAGAUACUCUAAGCCAGACUCAUCCAGUCAAAACACUCUCAAAUUCCUGACCCUCAGAGACUGUGAGUUAAUAAACAUGUUUGGCUUUAAUCCACUGCUUUAUGGUAACUGAACUUGAGUGGUUAGAGAGUGAAGGAAAAGAAAGCAUGGUCAAAUCCAGAAAAGUUAUGGAGAUAGAAAUCCAUAACGCCCAAGUUUCUAAUCUGGAUAAAAUAUAUGUAUUUUUAAAUAUUAUAAACGAGCUGAGCUUUCUUGCCCUGUCACCAUAUACCUGGAAAUUAGACAAUUUAUAUCCCAUUUCCCCAUCUGCUCAGUGAGCUUGGGCAAGUGGAAUCAAUUCAGGGAUCAUUAUUUUCCACUAAACUGUUCUGUGCCAUGGAUUCCCCCUCCAUAAACUACAGGGGCAUUUUCCCCUGGCCUACUCUUCAGGAUAACUUAAGGCAUUAGUAUCAUCCAAUGGCACCUAAGGUAACACACAGUGAGUGGCACCUUCCCCUCUGCCCUCAGUCAUCUCUCUUCCCAGCUCUUCUCUCCUGGGAGAAUCUGAUCAGUGAGACUCCAGAUUCCCUGAAAUGCAUCCCUGUAUUAUGUCUGCUUUCACCAGAAGAUGUCUGACAAGACAACAUGUGGUUGGGAUGAAUUCCUUUUUAAACAUUUUAUUUUGAAAUAUCUUUAGGUUUAUAAAAAAGCUGCAACCGAUAGGAAAAAAGUUCCCAGGUACCCUUCUUCCAACUUCCUCAAUUAGUAUCUACAAAACUAAGAAAUUAGCAUGGGCACAAUACUGUUAUCUAAACUACAGACUUUAUUAAGAUUUCACCAGUCUUUCUUUUACUGUCAUUUUCUGUUCCAGGACCCAAUCUAAGAUAACACACUGCACUUAAGCACAUGAUUCCUUAAUCUCCUCUUAUCCGUAACGGGUUUCUGACUUGCCUGUCUGCCAUGACCUUGACACUUUUAAAGUGUACUGGUCGGGAAUUCUGUAGAAUAUCUCUCUAUUUGGGUUUGUCUGACAUCUUUCAUUAUGAGACUGGGGAUGUGGAUUUUGGGGAGAAAAACCAAAGAGGUGCUCUUCUCAUCACAUCUUCUCAGGAGGUAUGCAUUAGUUACUGCUGUAACAAAUUACUGUGAAUUUAGUGGCUUAGAACAACAGUAAUUUAUUCUUUUACAAUUCUAAAGGACAAAAGUCUGAAAUAAGUUUUACAGGGCUAAAAUCAAGGUGCUGGCAAGCCUGGCUCCUUCUGAAGGCUCUAGAGGCUCCAGUCAUUCCUUGUUUUUCCAUAUAAUGUAGCCACAGGUUCCAGGGAUUAGGACCUGGAUAUCAUUGGAGGCCAUUACUCGGCCAACGCAGACUACGUGACAUCCAUAUGAUUGAUCAGUGGUCAUGCUAAUCUUGAUCUCUGGUUAAGGUGGUUUUGGCUGGGGUUCCCACUGACUGGGGGGAGGGGGAUAAAUUCCAGAAAUAUGAUUGCGUUCACACCCAAAGUAAUUAUGUUGACAUCAUGUAACCACUCAUAACUACUUAUAUUAAGUACCGUUCCCUACCAGACUCAGUUCUAGACCCUAGAAAUACAAAAAUUAACAAGCAAUGGUCCCUACCCUUGAGGAGAUAUUUGCCUAACUAGGACAGCAUUUGCAAUUUCUUUAAAGACAGCAAGUUUAUAAACACAAACACGCUUUCCUUUUAAACAAUCUGGACACUGUUUUGGUGAUGAUCUUGAAUUGUAUGGAAAGUUUCAGGUCAUGUGAAAAUGGAAACUAAUUUUCUUACAGUUUCCAAAGUCUGGUUGGACUUUUUGAGACCAUUUCCCACUUUGAUAUGCUCUCUUGGAUUUUCUUCCCAAAGGUGAAGUACUACCUCAUGGGCAAACCGACAAAAAUGCCAUCAGGUUUCUCAUCAGAAAGUCUGGCUUUUAUUUGGCACCCAGCCGGCUUUAAGGGACAAAAAAGGCUGGGAUGCGGCCCCAGACUCUGAGUGCUCAUGAAACUAAAGUGGAUUGCCACACCUCACACUUGACUCUUUUUCUUCAGCCUGUGAAGUAACACACGGUGUUCUUCUGCAAGGAAAAUGCUAGGAAACAGGAUUACCCAGAGAUUUUUCUCUAGAUGCCACUACAGCACUUCAAACUCAGAGUGGUUCCAUGGGAACUCUGACUCAGUAGAAAAACUCUGUUAUUUUUACUGCUUCAAGGAGGCUCACCUUAAAUUAACUUCAAGUCAUGUCUGAAAUAUAUAUCCCAUACCAGAUUCUUCAAGUCAAAUACUCUCAAAAUGGAACAACUAAGAAAUACACGGGGAAUUUACCAUUCACAUAUUGCAGACUUCAAGCUUCCCCUGGCCGGACCACAAUAUAUCAGAGGCAAGAUCUUACUCAAACUGCUUAUUAGCUGCCUGCCCUUAAUAAAGUCACUUUAAGACUCCCUGUGCUUACACCUUUCUUCGUAUAUAAAAGGGAGUUAGAUGGCAGUGAGGUUUCCCAUCUUCACCUGAGAGAGUUGGCUCGAGAUUCAAGUGAGAUAAUAAAUACGAGGACAUUUCAGAGGUAAAGACUUCUCAACAAUUUUAAGUUACUUCGUAUAUUGUUAAUUUCUGAGAUGUGAAAAUGGCAUCAUAGCCAUUUAGAGGUCCUUACCUUUUAGAGGAGGGGGAGCCAUCUUUUUAUAAAAGGGCCAAAUAGUAAUAUUUUAGGCUUUGAGGACCACGGAGUCUCUGGGAAAGCAGCCAAUGGAAAAUAGGUGAAGGAGUGGGUGGGGUGGUGUCUCAAUAAAGUUUAUUGGUAAUACGGGAGGUAGGUCCACGGGCCAGAGUUUGCCAACCUUUGUUUCAGAGAAACUUACUGAAAUAGUUGUGGGCGAAAUGGUAUGACAGCCAGGAUUUGCUUCCAAAUCAUAUGGAAAAUGGAGAUGUGAGGAGGGACAGAAGUGAAAUAUGAAUGGCCAAGUUGAUAAUUACUGGAGAAGGGUGAAGGUAUCGGGGAUUCAUGUAAUGCGUGCGUGUAUUUUGUAUAUGUUUAAAUUCUCCACUACUUUUAAUAGUAUCAAAACCAUAAUGUAUUACUAACAUAAUAAAUAUGGCCAAACAAGUAACUACACAUGUAUCGUUGAGACCUUGGCUGGAUGGUGUCGAGUGGAGCUUGCCAGAAGGCCAGCAGCAUCAUUCUGGCCAUUCAGAUACGCAUUUCCUCUAUUCCACAUCAAUCCAGAGAUCCAAGAUUAAAGUGCCAGGGAGAACACAUGACUCAAGAUGAGACUGAUUUCAGAGCGGCUACUGGAUUGUCAGCCUAGGAAAAUGCCUCCUAGAUGCAGCAGGAAAAUAGACUGUUUUGCCUUUUUUUUUUUUUUUUUCUAACUACCCUCUCUUUCUCAUUCCUUUCCACAGCUACAUUAGUGUAUUUUAAAUUCUGCUGUGUCCUACAAAAGUAAAAAAUGUGAGAUCAAUUGUUAGUCCAGAUUGCUUUUUAAAAGACUAGGUGUGCUAAAACCCGGGCUCUUUAUCAUGGAGUCAGAGAAAGUAGAAAUGGCUUGGCUUAUAGUCUUAUUUUCCUAUAUGAGUUACAUGAGUUCAAACGGCUGUUCCAGACUUUUACACAAAAAUUCUAGAGAGGACCCCCUCUUAUACUUCAGGGACAACUAAACACUCCAUUCCCUCCCCACCGCCGCCGCCGCCCGAAAGCUACCACCAGCAUUCAGCUUUCUAUUUCUCUUAGCAAGUUUUCGCAUCCUUUUAAAUUGCCAGAUAGUGAAUAGUACAGGACCAAUAGGAAGAGCGAGGACAGAGGAUACGAUAAUAAAGGACCAACACUGAAUCCAAAUAUUUUAUAUGUAUUCCCUCUAUGGUUCCCAUUACAACCACCCUAUGAUACAGGACUACUUACAUCCCUUGUACAGAUGAGGAAAUGAGGUAUAGGGAGGGGAAGCAACUGGCCGGAAUUUACACGGUUAAUAGGUAUGUUCUGGUCACUGGGUGCUUAACCACUAGUCCACACGCUUCUCAGGGGACGAAGGGUAGAAGUAGAGAGAGUCAUACCUUGGAGUUCUCCUGGAAGGUGAAAUGGACAAACAGGCAAGAGGGGGAAAGCGUGCUGAAACACAAGGAAGUAGAAAUUAGGGAUAAUCAGGGAGCUGAAAAACUAGUGGAAAAAAACCACAGAGAGUCCAGCAGCUGUGGUUCCUACUUCUUUCUCGGCAGCGGUGUCCUGUGUGUUUUUGGUUUUUCUGGUUUUGGGGGUUUUGUCUCUAGGGAAAUAAACAGGAUGCUCAGUUCCUCUCUAUGUCUACAGUCCUAUUUAUUUCAUAUCAAAGUAAUUUAAGAUGUCGAGAGAAGAAACUCACUGGUUCCCAAUGGUGACAGGACCUCAACUGUGCUUCCUUUUUCAAGAAAUAAGACAAAACAUUCCCAUGAAAACAUGAAGCAAAUUAUGCACCAUUUUGCUGAAGACACUGCUAGGCUUUGGGGUGACUCUUAAGAACAGUGAACAAGCCCGCAUUUCUGAUCUCCUGGGAAAGAGGCUACUCAUAGGCUCAGAGCAAGGCUCGAUGCAUUGUUUUGCAUUCCCCUCUCACACACCCUACUCAGCGUCCUAAUUCCACUUCUGCGUCCCUCUGCCAACUGUGAGGAUGCUACCUCUCAAAAUCACUGGCUUCAGCUUUUCUGCUGGGAUUAGAAAGACCUCACUUCAGUCAUUAAAAACAUCCACUCCUCUUCCUUCAUUUGUAAACUCUCCUUUUAAUGAUUAUGACUGACAAGUCUUGCUCUUUGGGUUCUGUACCAUUGGAAUCAACUCCCCAAACACACUGUUUCUUUCAUCCAAAGCCUGAGAGUGUGGGAACCCUGCUUUGGAGAAGUGAUUGGCCAGACCUCCCCGCCAUCAGCAGCCCCCGGCUGCCAUGCUGACCUAAGGGAGAUGUCUCAUCGUGUCUACAGCCAAGACAGCCUGGUUGCCAAGCAUCCAAGAAAAAAAAGACUGGAAAGUUAACAACUCUGAGUAGGUUAUAACAAACAAUGUUUAUGGGCUUCUAGAGAGUUUUGUUUGGGACUCAGUGACUCCAAAUGGUCAGGGGAGCAGAGCUCAAUUAACAAUUUUUUAAAACCUUCAAUUAAAAACACCGUUGAGGAGUUCCCGUCGUGGCGCAGUGGUUAACGAAUCCGACUAGGAACCAUGAGGUUGCGGGUUCGGUCCCUGCCCUUGCUCAGUGGGUUAACGAUCCGGCGUUGCCGUGAGCUGUG